GUGUUGUUGUUGUUGUUGUUGUUUCCUUUUGUUUCUUUGUUUCUCACUUCUCUGCUUCUCCUGCAGCCCGUGAGCCAUCUCCCUGUGCCCUCCUCACAAGCCACGAGGGUUUCUCCCUCGAAUUUUCUCUCCCUUCCCCAGCUGAGGAGGGAACGAGACAGCAGCUGGGUGGGCACCUGGCCGCCAGCCUAGGCCAAGCCACCACGGCCAUUCACGGGGAUGAAGAGGCUGCACCGUGGGCUUGGAAGCCCAGGGGGUGUCUGUGAGGCUGGGGGAGCUCCUGGGCCCUGCCGCAUCAUCCACCACUCCAUGGUCUCCUAGUGACACGGAGGGAGCACAAUGACACCAGUGACACAGGCGAGUCUGGGGGGGACUUUGCGUCUCUGGUGAGCGCCAGGCGUGGAGGCAGCAGCUCCUGGCAGCGAGGCGAGGCCAGGCGAGGCGAGGAGUUGCUGCGCAGCAUGGCUGCCGGAGAGGAGGAGAAGGCCCCUGAGGCACAGGAGGACGGUGAGAGCAGAUGCCCCAGCAGCUCCCUGGAGGUGGAGGGCCCUGAGCACCCCCUGGGGCUGUGCAGAGCCGCUUGGGCUGUGGACACCCGGGGACGCCCUGCCAGGAGCCCCCGAGCAGGCCCUUGCGGGCGUCCCUCGGGGACACCUGCCAGGUGCUCAGUGGGGGGAUGCUCUCAUCCAUGGCUGCCGCCCUGCCUCCCCCAGAGUGCGUGCUGUGCCACCGCUCGGACACCAGCUUGGAUGGCUGCGGGCCGAUGUUGCAGGUGGACGGGGUCUGCGCCCACGUGCACUGCCUGGUGAGCUCCCCGCGGCUGCCCGCGCCUUUCCCCAAGCCCUUGCCUGGCACCUGGAGCCCACAGGACUGUGUCAUCCCCAGCGCGCUGCUCGCUGGCUGUCACCUCCUCCUGCUGCGCUGCCAGCACAGCCUCCCCACCAUGGUCCCUAUCUCCUUGCCCUGAGCAGCUGCGGGGCUUUGCUCUCUUCCAGUUUCCAGCCCAGGGCCUGUACCAGCGAGGCGCUGAAGGGGAAGGAAUCUUCGGAUUCCUCUGCGCGGAUAUCAGGCGGGUAGCGGGUCGGGCAGCUCGCAAGGUGAGGGCUUUUUUGGAGCAGACGAGGCUUGUGGCAGCUGAGCCCAAGCCCUGGCAAAGAAAUCCUCGAGGCUCUGGACAAGCUCCGGGCAAGUGCCAGUGGCCCCGGCCACGUCCCUGACGGGGCUGCUGUGCUCUUUGCAGCGCUGCUGCGUCUGCCGCAAGAAGGGGGCCACCGUCGCCUGCUGGCAGAAGCGCUGCUCGCGCCGCUUCCACCUGCCCUGCAGCUCCCAGCGGGGCUGCAUCUCGCAGUUCUUUGGGGACUACAGGUACGAGCUGCCCUAGCUUGGGCUGCAGCCCCCUCAGCCUGCGCCCUGCAGGCAGAGUCCCCGGUGUGGCACGCGUGGUCCCUGGCCUCACUCAACUCUUCCGUCCUCACGCAGCUCCUUCUGCUGGGAGCACCGCCCGCAGCAGAGCGUGGAGACGCUGCAGGAGGGGCACACCACGUGCAUCAUCUGCAUGGAGGUGGUGGAGGACAGCCUCUCCUACACCACCAUGGUGUGCCCCUCCUGCAAGCACGCCUGGUUCCACCGCGGCUGCAUCCAGGGACAGGCGCUUCGGGCGGGCCUCAGGCACUUUGCGUGUCCUCACUGCCGGGACCGGGAGCGCUUUCUCCCUGAGAUGCUGCACAUGGGAAUCCGCGUGCCCAACAAAAAGCCGGCUUGGGAGCAAGACGAGGAGGAGGAGCCGGCACUGCCGCAGCUGUAUGGCCGCUGCGAUGCCAGGCAGUGCCUGUACAGGGGAGGCCGCGAGCAGUGGCAAGAGGAAGGGUGAGCAUCCACAGCAGCAGCUCCCCGGCUGCUGGGGGCUGUGAGCCACAUCUCCAGCAAGCCGUGCAGUGGCUGCUGGGGCUCUGCCCAGGCACCUUCCCCUCUGCUGGGGCGCCGUGAGCAAUGGUUCUGGAGCCUUGGGGGCCUUUGUGGCGCCACUGCCUGCUGGGCUCUGCGUGCUCACCAGCACAACUUCUUCCCCAGGCCCUGGCAGCUGCUGCUCUGCUCCUCCUGUGCCGCCAGCGGGACCCACCGCCGAUGCUCCGGCCUUGGGGACACCACGCAGCAGUGGGAGUGCGCUGGCUGCGCUGGCCCGGGCACUGGCACUGCUCCCAGCUCCUCACCCUCACCACCGGAGAGGAGAGCCGGCCGUGGCAGGGUGCUGCCCCAGCGCCACAGCCCCUACAGCCGGCCACAGCCCUGAUCCCGGCCUGGGGACAGAUGCU